rnacentral:rRNA from 1 species
UAGGGAAUCUUCCGCAAUGGCCGCAAGUCUGACGGAGCAACGCCGCGUGAGUGAAGAAGGAUCUCGGUUCGUAAAACUCUGUUGUUAGAAAAGAACAGCGUAUAGAGUAACUGUUAUGCGUGUGACGGUAUCUAACCAGAAAGCUACGGCUAACUACGUGCCAGCAGCCGCGGUAAUACGUAGGUGGCAAGCGCUCUCCGGAAUUAUUGGGCGUAAAGCGAGCGCAGGCGGUCAAGUAAGUCUGAUGUGAAAGCCCCCGGCUCAACCGGGGAGGGUCGUAUGAAACUGGUUGGCUUGAGUGCAGAAGAGGAGCAUGGAAUUCCAUGUGUAGCGGUGAGAUGCGUAGAUAUAUGAAGGAACACCUGUGGCGACGGCGACUCUCUUAUCUAUAACUGACGCUGAGGCUCGAAAGCGUGGGUAGCAAACAGG